rnacentral:lncRNA from 1 species
AGCAAACUUCUUCCUUUUAUCAGGCGGUAGCUUUAAAAACCAAAAGCCUCACACCGUAUAUAUAGGUAGCUUCACAAUGCCACAUUAUCUGCCUAUAAAAUCUGAUAAUAUAGCUUCCAGGUGCCUGGGGCAGUGAGGCUCAGGCCAGGAAAGAGAAAUCUGCUGCUUUAAGAACAUUUGCAUCAUUGGAUUAACCUCCAUGUGGAUGUUUCUUCUGAAGAGUUCAGCCUAACCGUUCAUACUGUAGGGCCUUCUGCAGAGAGCUUUCACAUUGGGCCCUGUUCUCUAGUUCAUCAUCCAACAGCACAGAUGCAUGCCCAGCAAGCCCUCAAUAUAACAGUGCCAGUGCCUCCCACUGUGGACACAUGCUGAC